GUCCGGAGGAGCCGAGCCGAGACCCGGCUGCACCUCGAAUACCUGCGGGCGCUGCCCACCAGCCCCGAGGAAGAGGAGGAGGAGGAAGAGGAGGAAGAAACACUCACCACCAUCCUCUGAGCCGCCGUGGGCACGAACUGGCAGCAAACGGGGGAGCCCCAGAGGGGGGUGAAGCCCCCCCCCAGACCUGCCCCAGCGACUUGGAGAGGGGACACCCUGGGGACGUUUCUUCCACCCAACCAAUGGAUCUCCAUCGGGGACAGCGAUGGGGAGCUGUGACACCCUGGGGAUGUUCUUCCACCCCUCCUGGCUCAGCCAUAGGACCUGGGGACAGCGAUGGAGACUCCCAAGAACUGUGACACCCUGGGGAUGUUUUUCCACCCUCCUGGCUCAGCCACUGGAUGGAUGUCCCUCAGGGGACAGAGAUGUGGACCCCCGAGAACUGUGACACCCUGAGGAUGUUUUUCCACCCUCCCUGCUCAGCCACCGGAUUGACGUCCUGUGGGGACCCCCAAGAACCGUGACACCGAGGGGACAUCUUUUCACCCCUCCCUGCUCAGCCACUGGAUUGAUGUCCCUCAGAGACAGCGAUGGGGACCCCCAAGAACUGUUGACACCCUGGGGACAUCUUUCCACCCUCCCAACUGAUCUCCCUUGGGGACAGUGAUGGGGACCUGUGACACCAUGGGGACAUUUUUUCACCCCUCUCUGCUCAGUAUCUCCCUCGAGGGACAAUGACGGGGGGUCCCCAAACCCACCGAAAGCAGGACCCCCACUCACCACGGUCAGGAGGGCGCCCUUCUUGAAGCAGGGGUGGAAGGCGAUGAGCUGGGGCUGUGCCCCCCCUUCCCCUCGCAGGAAACCGCUGCAGGGAAAAAGGGAAAAAUAGGGUUAAAACCCACUCGACAAAACAUGGCGUUUUCAGGGUAGUCCACGGUUAAACGGUGAUAUUUUUGACCCUGGCUGGGAGGUACCGGGUAAGAAGAACCCAAAACAAAGCAUUUUGGAGGUGGAUAAUGGAUAAUUUGGCCAAAACUCAACAGAUUCUGAGGGAAAAUGGUGACAAGAGCACGGGGCGGCAGCAUCUCUUCACUCCAAGGGCAGGAGCUCAAAGACAGGGCUGUUGCGGGUGCGGAAGACGGCGACGAUGGCCUGGCUCCCGGGAUCAUCGGGAUGUCCUGGAGGAGGGAAAGGGAAGGAGCAGUGAGGAUUCCCCUGGUCCGAGGGACCGCACCGGGACACAGCCGUGGAGCAAGGUGCUGCCACCCCCCUGAGUCUGGGCUGGGGGACCAGGGAGGUCUCCCCUCGACAAACACAAAGCCUCUGGAGAAAAAAAAAAAAAAACCACCAGGAGGGGUUUUUCCCCCUAUAAUGGGGGUGUAAAAAUCAUAACUUUGAGCAAGAAGCAACGUGAGGUAGGGAAAAACUCAGCCCUGGACCUCAAGAGCCCCCCAAGAGGAAAAACUCAGCCCUAUGCAUUGAGAGACCCCCCCCCCCCCACGAAGAAAACCUCAACCCUGUCC